rnacentral:rRNA from 1 species
UAUAACUGGAGAGUUUGAUCCUGGCUCAGAACGAACGCUGGCGGUAUGCCUAACACAUGCAA